GGACUUUUUCUCUACUACUACAGAUGACUGGUACUAAAUAGAAGAAAAGCCUUUUUAGGGCGGUUACACAAUGGAGAAAAGACAUGGUUGCAAACCCACCUGACAAGAAAAUGUGUUCAAGAAUCCCUGAUGAGGCAAACUGAGGCCUAGGAGAGACACACAUCUGACCUGGCUCUGUGGAUCUGUUUCUAUUAAGUACCCAGCUACAGACUAGGACGAAAUCACUUUCACCAUCUUAUCUUCUCAAGAGCAGCUCCCUCUCUGACAAGCUGGUAGAUGCUCAGUAUCUGGAAAGGGUACACAGGAUGACUAUAUUUCUUGACCUUCCUUGUGGUUAGACUGGAACUAUAUGACUGGGUUUGGUGGACAGGGGCAGAAGUGAGUAAGCCAUCUCCAGGCCUAUCCUGAAAAACCUAUCUACCCACCUCCAAAGCAACCUGGAGGUCACAUGACCUAGAUGAUGUAGCUACAAGUUGGAAGAGGAUCAACCUCCAAAGGACUUCGUGUAAAAUAAACGUUUGUUGUGCUCA